rnacentral:rRNA from 1 species
UACGGAGGGGGCAAGCGUUAUUCGGAAUUAUUGGGCGUAAAGGGCGCGUAGGCGGCUAGAUGUGUCAAAGGUGAAAUCCCUCGGCUCAACUGAGGAACUGCCUUUGGAACUGUCUGGCUUGAGGCCGGGAGAGGGUAGCGGAAUUCCCAGUGUAGCGGUGAAAUGCGUAGAUAUUGGGAGGAACACCAGUGGCGAAGGCGGCUACCUGGACCGGUUCUGACGCUGAGGCGCGAAAGCGUGGGGAGCAAACAGG